CCCAACGAUUCACGAAGAUGAGACUAUCUUCAGACUGAACCAGGAGGUUCUGAGGCUUCACGUCGCGGUGGGCGACGCCGUUUUGGUGGCAGAAAUGCAGUGCCGCACGUCGCAGUGGGCGACGCCGUUUUGGUGGCAGAAAUGCAGCACCGAUACCAGCUGCUGGAAGUACUGUCGCGCGAACGGCCCAGCCAGCUUGCCGCGGCCCGAGAUCUUGGAGAACAGCUCACCGCCCGUGGCGAGCUCCACGACGAGAUAGAUCUUGGUCUUGGUGGCCAUG